GGAGAGAUGGCUCAGCAGUUAAGAGCACUGCCUGUUCCUUCAGAGGACCUGGGUUCAAUUCCUAGCAAUUCCA
rfam:Cricetulus griseus cell line CHO-K1, whole genome shotgun sequence.